ensembl:lncRNA
CUCCUAUCCAAACCCUGCGCUGAGCCCCACCGCAAAGGGGCUGAGAUGUGUUGGAGACCCCCCCCCUUAAGCAGCACCAAAAGGGUUUUGCAGCACAGAGGAGAAGCAAAGCAGGACAGCACAGAGCAGGGGCACAGCAUGGGUGUACACGUGGGGACGCACAGCCAUCACUCGGCUCCUUUGCUCUCUGCCCACACCCUGCAGCCCAAACCUUCUCCUCCCCCCCUCCAGAAGUUCCCCUCCUUUCUCCUGCAUUAUUUCCCUGCCAUUUCAGCCCCGUUCUCUCCGCUUCUGCUGGAGGUCUGAGGGCGCUCAGGUGGAUCCUGACGGGCCACGCUCCGCUGCCUCCAUCCCUGCAAGACGUGAGGAUGGAGCUGAUGGCUGCGGGUGGGGAUGCCGCCCUGCAGCUGUCUGAAACACGAAGCAAAUCCCUUCCUCCCCAUUGCACAACUCACUCCUGGACAGGGGGCUGCAGGGCUGAUCCCCUCUAAUCCCACACUGGCUCAGUGCCCGGGCUCAGCGCCUUCCCACCACCCCAUCCCCUCGGAUUAUUGGUGCCCGUUGCCUUCAUAAGGGGCAGAAAGGAGCCUGGGCUCAUCCUGGGGCUGCGGUCACCGCCUGAGCUCCGUGGGGACGAUGAAGCCGUACGCAGUGCUGCUGCUGGCGGGGCUGGCCUGCUGCCUGGCUGCGGGCUUGCCCGUCAAUGAGACGCCGGCCGUGGGGCAAGACGCGAAGGUGAGCGGCAGAGCUGCCGAAGGAGCGCUGGUGGAUUUGGCUGACGUGGUGGAGAGCCUCCUGCGCUCCCUGGGGGACACCCUGGCCGGGGCAGUCCGACUGCUGAUAGGGGGAAAAGAGAAAUAGCUGGCGUGGUGAGCGCCGAACUGCCCUGCUGGGGACGUGGGGACAUCAUGGGGAC